GGGCCCGCACAAGCGGUGGAGUAUGUGGUUUAAUUCGAUGCAACGCGAAGAACCUUACCAGGGUUUGACAUCCUGCGAAUCUCUUGGAAACAGGAGAGUGCCUUCGGGAACGCAGUGACAGGUGGUGCAUGGCUGUCGUCAGCUCGUGUCGUGAGAUGUUGGGUUAAGUCCCGCAACGAGCGCAACCCACGUCUUUAGUUGCCAGCAUUUAGUUGGGCACUCUAGAGAGACUGCCGGUGAUAAACCGGAGGAAGGUGUGGAUGACGUCAAGUCAUCAUGCCCCUUACAUCCUGGGCUACACACGUGCUACAAUGGCGGUGACAAAGGGAAGCAAUAGGGCGACCUGGAG
rnacentral:rRNA from 1 species